rnacentral:rRNA from 1 species
CGGGGGGCAGCAGUAGGGAAUAUUGGACAAUGGGCGAAAGCCUGAUCCAGCCAUCCCGCGUGCAGGAUUAAGGCCCUAUGGGUUGUAAACUGCUUUUAUCAGGGAAGAAACCGAGAGAUUCAUCUCACGUUGACGGUACCUGAUGAAUAAGCACCGGCUAACUCCGUGCCAGCAGCCGCGGUAAUACGGAGGGUGCAAGCGUUAUCCGGAUUUACUGGGUUUAAAGGGUGCGUAGGUGGUCUAGUAAGUCAGCGGUGAAAGCCCAGAGCUUAACUCUGGAAUUGCCAUUGAUACUGCUAGGCUUGAGUACAGUUGAGGUGGGCGGAAUAUGUCAUGUAGCGGUGAAAUGCUUAGAUAUGACAUAGAACACCAAUUGCGAAGGCAGCUUGCUAAACUGUAACUGACACUGAGGCACGAAAGCGUGGGGAUCAAACAGGAUUAGAUACCCGAGU